GCCAUCCAGCUGGGUAUUAGAAGAGAACCAAACCUUGUUUUGGCCACAAGGAGUUAAUGCUGAGAAUGCCCUUCAAAAUCAGCAAGAACCAGACCCUGCAUCAUGGAGAAAGUUUAUGUUGAAAAAAGUGAAGAUCACUUCUGAUAGUUUUCAAGAAUGCGAUACCUACCAUCUGACAUCUACGGUGGAGAGUUCUGAGAGCAACAGUGAUCCUGAUGAAGGUCUACUCAUGAGAAAAAGGAGAAAACGUUGUAAGAAAAAUCUGCCUGAUGACUUUGUCAGCAGUGAAAACUUACAUGAAGCUGUCCACAUGAAGCCAGCC